rnacentral:rRNA from 1 species
UACGAACGCUGGCGGCGUGCCUAACACAUGCAAGUCGAGCGAGAAUUUUUCAACAGAUUCCUUCGGGAUGAAGUUGAAGAAGGAGAGCGGCGGACGGGUGAGUAACGCGUGAGUAACCUGCCCAUAAGAGGGGGAUAACACAUGGAAACGUGUGCUAGUACCGCAUAAGCCCACAGGUCGGCAUCGACCAGAGGGAAAAGGAGCAAUCCGCUUUGAGAUGGCCUCGCGUCCGAUUAGCUAGUUGGUGAGGUAACGGCCCACCAAGGCGACGAUCGGUAGCCGGACUGAGAGGUUGAACGGCCACAUUGGGACUGAGACACGGCCCAG